rnacentral:lncRNA from 1 species
CUUUUUUCAAUCAGGUUGUUUCAGGUAAUCUUUUGCCGCAUAGUCUGCCCUAGCUGACGCUGUGCAGAGAAUACUACGAUUGGAAACGGUUGGUUAGACCCGUUCGCACUGCACAAGGUGAUUUGGCGUUUAGAAUGUCUGGUAGGCUCUUACAUUCUUUGGAGAGGUCCCAAAUGGCACCCUGUAGUGUACUACUUUUGACCUAUCCCCAGUGGGCUCAGAUCAAAAUAAGUGCACUAUAUAGGGAAUGGCGUGCCAUUUGUCUGUGUGUGUGUGUGUGUGUUAGGAUAUGUUUUGUGCCAAUCAGUUGAUGAAAAUGUAUCCCUCAGAAAGCAAGAUGGACCGUAGUGAUGAGAGAAUCAAAAGAGCUUUAAGGCGCCGCCCUUAUGUGGUAAAUACCAAUUUAUUUAGUUUGUGUUCUGUCUUUGUCAUCACAUUUUAAAUGGAGUGUUGUGUUGACAGUUGAAUCCAGUGAGGGUGAACACCCCUGAUUCUGUGAUGUGGCCAACCGGUAAGGUGCACAGAAGACCAAGGCCUAUAUCCCUCCCCAUCUAUACUCAUUUGAAAUUGAAUGCUGUCUUGACAGUCUACUUCAGCGCAGACCCCUCAGAUCCACAAAAGGCCUCCAAUCAUUGAGAGCUGUGGGCAGGAACAGACAUCUGGGGAUGGACGGGACAUCAAUCCAGAGCCUCUCAGC